rnacentral:lncRNA from 1 species
GUCACCGGGUGAAGAUGAGCCCUUCCAUGCUUUGCGCGCAGCCCGCCGCGCGGCCAAGCUCUUGGAUAAAGACUGCUGGCAGAUCAGAAAAGGAUGCGCAGGAGAUGAAGAAGUUUCACCUCUACGUAUGGACCACACUGUAUUUGAAUCCCUCAGAGGAACAGCGGAGCACCAAGAGGUUGUGCUGCUUUAGAGACCACCCCACUGUGAGCUAGUUCUCCAGCACUACAUCUGCCUGCAUUCUGCCAUGCUUCUCACCAUGAUGAAAACUAACAAAACCUCUGAAUGGGAUUGGAUUCAUGAAAGUAAAAAGACAAGAAAUGUCAAUUUUAAAAUUCAAAAGAAAAAGACCAUAAACUUCUACUCCCCCACCUCCAAUUCACCAGCUCAUAAUACCCUGAAGUCAGAUUCAUUGAAUGACUUAUCUGCUGUGUGCCAACUCUGUGACCCUGAGCUGUGGGAAGAUCACUAAAGGGAGCAUGGGGCUGGUGAUAGAAAAUAUGCCCUGUGAAGAUGUUGGAGUGAUAAACAAAUGGCUGGACCUGUGAGUUCUUUAGAAAAUACAAUGAGCAAGAAAUACAGACACUCUAUCAAUGAAAAUCAGUACAUCAUUAGGUUAGUUUACUUUCCCCAUAUAGUUUUAUCCAUCAUCUAACUUAUGUGAACAUUCCAGAACCAUCAAUUUGAUUAAAUAAACACAUAUUAAUGUUUUAGAGUGUAUGUAGCUGCUGUCAUUAGUUACAUUAAAUGCAAUCAGUUUCACAUUGUAUUCUGAUUCCUGCUCCUAUCGAAAAUGCCAAAGUGAAACAGAACAUAGCACAUGAAUCUUUUGGAAAGGGUGUGUAAUCAUUCAGUGGCCUCACAUAUUCCUUAUUAAAUACCUAUUACGUGCUAAUAAUUUGAUAUUAUCUGGGACUAAAAUGUUGUACAAAAAGAUAUAUUCCUUGCUUGUACAGAAUUCAUAUUCUGACAUGUUAAAAUAUGAUAUAGAAAUGUUUUAUCUUCUUUUAUAUGAUUUCAUUUUAAAUACAUGGCAAAAUAUUUGAUUUAAGAAAGAGUUAAUGAUAUAUUUUAGAACAUUAAAUCUAGAAUAGAAAUGCAUUCUGGAGUUCAAACAUCUAUGAAACAUCCUAUGAAAUAGGGUGCCAUGAUUCCAUUUAUGACCAGGGCAGACAUUGUUAAUUUAUCACCAAUUUUUUUCUUCACUGAGUCUUUGUGAGCAUGGACUUAAGCUGUAACAAUAUGCUCUCUAGAGAGACAGGUAUUGCUACUAGAAAACUCACAUGUAACUUGCUAAAUAGUAUAAUUCUAGUACUAAGGAGAGUUUUAGUAAGUGACCACAGGUAAAAUGUUAUCUCCCAGGGUCAAAGCUUGAACCCUGGUCCUGGUUUCCUAAAUAUCUUGGUAAUCCUCUUAGCCUUUUCUCACUAUUAUAGACCACCUCAACUUGGAGGUUUUAGGAUUCUAUUUUCAUGGUAGUUUUCUUUCUAUUUUAAGUACCAUUUUGUGGUAUUGGUUGUUGUAUGAGAGAUCUCCUGCUUCCAUACCUAACGAAAAACUUUGAUGGUUUCAAGUGUUGAAAUUAUGAAUAACCACACUAAAUUCUUCAGCUUGGAGCUGAGGUGACAGUGGAGGAGGCUGGGAGAAUUGUUUCCUGUGGACACCAGAAAGUCAUCAUAGCCAAAUUGAUUCCCAUUUUUGCUUAGAUCCUGACUGGAAUUUUAAAUUCGAAGUAGGAGUAAAAUAAGCCCGAAUUCUGAUUGUUGUUGUGGGGCUGGAUAUUUUAAUAUUAGGAUUUUGCUUCCCCCAAAAGUCUUCUGAAGCAUAUUGAUAAACUGUCACCAUCUUAGCAGCUUUACUUAAAAGCCCAUUAGGGAGCUAAAACAAUUGUCUUCUAGGAAAGAAGAAAGUGCUGUCAAAAUUGCCAGAUUUUUGUUGAUUCAUUUCAUCUGCAAUGGCAGGCUUGCUUCAGAGCCUCAUUCCCAGUGAAGUCAAAUAAUUGCAAGAUAGAAUGGUAGCAAAAUCUUAUAUUCAAAUAACUUAAUAAUAAUACCUAAUGUAUACAGGACAAAAUAUAUGUUUUAAGGGUUUUUAAUCUCAUUUGAAACUUCAAUCAGACAUUUGCCUAAUAUACACAAAUAGCAUAAGGACCAUCCAAAGCAAAGAGGCUAGAAGUUAAAUUCAUUCCCAGAUGUGAGUCCUUCCAAAAGUCCUUCCAUUUGGAUUAUGCCAUCCUUUUCUUUUUUGUGUCCAGCAAGAAAGGGAGGAGGGUCAUAAUGUUUCCAGUGUUCAAGGCACAAAGGAAAGAAGCAUGCACUAGCAUCCUGACAAUUAGAGACCAACUUCAGGAUUCAAGUGAACAAGCCCAUAAUUAUAUAAAUCAUGAAUGAAUACGCAGAUGAUGAAAUACACUUUCUUUCUUAGAGAAUAGCACCUAAGAGAAUUAGAAGAAAUGGAGUUAUUUGAAAAACCUGGACAUAACAAUCAUGAGGAACAUAGGCUGAUACCACUAAGAUUUAUCAAUAGGAAAACUCUUGAUCCAGAUUUUCAGAUUCUUAACGUUUCAAAUGAUCUCAUUACCACGGUACUUACUCUCAAUAAAAAUACCAGAUAUUAGUGAAAAAAUAAAAAUCAUGUGUUGGG